CAUAGCUUGACACCAAACACAAUCACAGCCCAUAAAUCAUAAUAUCUCUCUCCCUUUAUCUUUUCUCUCCAUUCUAUUCUAUUGUAGUAUUGUCUAUAUGUAAAGACAAAACCAUAACCGUAGAUUUGUCUCAUCAACCUCAUUUCCCAUUUUCAUCUAAAUCUCAUUUCUCAAUUCUUCUUCAGAUCUACCCCCAAAUCACACCCCCUUUUCUCGAUCUACACCACCAUGUGUUCAAUUCGCGCAGAUCAACAACCAAAUCGGAUCUACCCUGAACCCUCCUAUUUCCCUCAAAUCGAUCACUUCGAUCGAAUCCCCGAUUCUCUUCUCCUUCUUGUCUUCAACAAGAUCGGUGAUGUUAAAGCUCUUGGUCGAUGCUGUGUUGUUUCGCGUCGUUUUCACUCUUUAGUCCCGCAAGUUGAAAACGUUGUUGUUCGUGUUGAUUGUGUAAUUUCCGAUGAUGAUUCGAAUUCAUCUGUGAAUUCGAGUGAUAAAUCUCGUGGUCCGUUUUGGAAUUUGUUGAGGUUGGUAUUUGGUGGAAUUGCUAAGCCGAUUCAAACUUUAGGUCAAUUUUUGGGUCCGAAAAGGGGAUCGAAUUCGUCGGUGAAUUCUGGUUCUGGAUCUUCGCCUCUUGCUGUUGGAAGUGAGGAGGAUGGUGAUGGUGGUGUUACACAUCAUUCACCUACUCAGGUUUUGAAGAAUUUUAACGAGAUUCGUUUGUUAAGGAUUGAGCUUCCUAGUGGUGAAUUAGGGAUUGAAGAUGGGGUUUUGUUGAAAUGGAGAGCUGAUUUUGGUUCAACUCUUGAUAAUUGUGUCAUUUUAGGUGCUUCUUCGGUUUUUCAACCAAAAUCUCAAGAUGGGGUUGUUGCUGUUGAUGGUGGUGGUGCAAAUAACAAUGGUGGUGAUGAUAAUGGAAGCAUACCGGAUUCGUUUUAUACGAACGGUGGAUUGAAAUUGAGGGUAGUUUGGACAAUUAGUUCAUUGAUUGCUGCAUCUGCAAGGCAUUACUUAUUGCAACCAAUAAUUUCGGAGCAUAAGACAUUGGAUAAUUUGGUGUUAACUGAUGCAGAUGGUCAAGGUGUGUUGUAUAUGAACAGAGAUCAGCUUGAGGAGUUGAGGGUGAAGCCGCUUUCGGCUUCCUCGGCUUCGAAGAGGACACUUGUUCCUGCUCUUAAUAUGAGGCUCUGGUAUGCGCCUCAUUUGGAGUUGCCUGAUGGGGUUGUUUUGAAAGGAGCUACUCUUGUUGCCAUUAGGCCUAGUGAAUUGUCACCUACCGCUGGUAAGAAGGAAGGAUCUGAUUUGUCUUGGGUUUCGACCGCGUUUGAAGAGCCUUAUAGGUCCGCAGCUGCGAUGCUUAUUAAGAGGAGGACUUAUUGCCUUGAGAUGAAUUCCUUUUGAUGCUUUUUGCUCCCUUAUAAGUUGUGGAUACAUCAAAAAACUUAAUGUCGCAGCUCAGAUUGCAAUCAUGGACUUUUUUAACCUUGUGUUUGCCUACAAUCUGAAUCUGCCUGUGUCUCCUUUUAAUUAUGCUUGUUUCAAAGAAUUCUCUCAGGGAAUGUAGAAUCAUUUAAGAACAGGGGAACAUGAAGUUCCUGAUAUAGAAAGGAAUCAGAAAACACAGUUUGUUUGGAAGCAGCCCGGCCAACCUGAAUCUUGCUCUUUCCAGCUUCUGAUCAAGUGCAGCCCCCCUAUGAGUAGUAAUUAUUAUUAUGAAAAGAGCUGCAAAUCAUUUACCUAUCUUGCUUGAACUGAGAUACUGAAUGCAUCUGCUGGUUUUUAAAAUUUAUGGCAAUGCUUUUAUAAGACCUGCAACUAGGAUGAUCUUGUUGUAAGAUCUUUGAGUUUGUUGUAGUUAUAUGCCCUUUUCAGGUCACCAUCUGUGAAUAUUCUAGGUUAUUUAUCCGUUUGGUUUGCAUUUGUGAUAUAUAUUGUUCUCAAGUUAAAUGAGCAAUGUACUUUUGCUUCUGUAAUUUUAAAUAACUUCUGGAUGAGUCAAUCAUACGGUGCAAUUGUUCCUGCACUUAACUGUCAUAUUUAGUAACAACUACUUAUGAGUGUAUUUGUUGUAAACAGUUCAAUAAAUCAUGUGAUUCAUGCCAAGGAGUUGAA